UAGGUCACAUACCUAUAUGAACUUGCGUUCAGGCCUAUGCGUUUGAACUUGUUAUUCAAGCACUUAACCAUAAGGCUUAAUCUAACUUUCACCUGUGUACCCCACCGGUGUGUGGUUUUUUCAAGUAUCCAGAAUACGUAAUUGCCAUUUCAUUGAUGCACUAGCAGUAUUUAUCAAGCACUAGAGACAUACCCCUGAUGAAGUCUUAGAGUAAGACGAAACACGUCGGGUUAUUUGUUCAUAAACAUCAAAUCUCCGAAUUGUCAAAGGAGAAGGAGGAAUCUAUCAAAGUUAUUUCAACUGGUCCUCUGUACUAUAUGGUGUUAUCUGCAAGAAGAGAUACUAUACCGUUUUGUAUCAUUGCUUUUAUGUUGUAAUACAUUUUUACAUGGAACAUGUUAAAUGUGGUUUUAUGCUCACGAAUUAGGAGUAAAUAUCUUAGGGAGACUGCUGUUUUUCCCCAUUGAAUAUUGGGUGGAAAAACAACCCAAGUGCGCCCAUUCAUCUACUGGCACAUAUUUGUAUCUUUUUAGUCCCUCCUAACAAGGGACUUAGUGGAAUUUGGCAGCCCAACCCCAAUCCUUUCUCACUUUCUGUUUAAUAGCGCAAAAGGGAGAGUAUCUGUUUUAUAUAUAUAUAUAUAUAUAUAUAUAUAUAUCAUACAUCACACAUGUAUUUACUCAAAGAGUGCAGCAUGAUUCUAUUCCCUCAUACCUGGUGACUUGUUUAAAUUCCCAACACAUUUGACUGGCACCAUGGUAUGCAAUGUUCUCAAUUAAUAUGUUUGGAGCUGCAAUGUCCAACUCAUUUUCCCCUGCAUCACAAAAAUUUUAGUAUUUUUAAAUAAUAGCAACACACUGUCAGCACUAUGCUUACUAUCUUCAGCUACCUGACAGCUGAGAAUGUUUCUCUAAACCAACACUAAAAUACACAUUGCAUAUAUGAAAAAUGACUUUAUGGAAGUACAUAAAUCUGCAUAAUUAUGCGUAGUUACCCAUUAAUAUACUUUGCAGUAGCAUGUUCUAUGAAACUUACUGUUUUCUAAUUAUCUUUAAAACCUUCUA